rnacentral:tRNA from 1 species
GGGACUGUAGCUCAGCUGGUUAGAGCACACGCCUGAUAAGCGUGAGGUCGGUGGUUCGAGUCCACUCAGUCCCA